rnacentral:rRNA from 1 species
AAUGAACGUUGGCGGCGUGGAUUAGGCAUGCAAGUCGUACGGGUCGGUGUAGCAAUACAACGGCAAGUGGCGAAAGGGAGAGUAACACGUAGAUACCUACCCUCUGGUCGGGGAUACCGCGGCAUAACCGCAAGUAAUACCCGAUAAAAUCUCCGGAUCAAAGGUGUGAUUCCGCCGGAGGAGGGGUCUGCGUUCUAUCAGCUUGUUGGUGAGGUAAUGGCUCACCAAGGCUAAGACGGAUACGGGGUGUGAGAGCAUGCCCCCGCUCACUGGGACUGAGACACUGCCCAGACACCUACGGGUGGCUGCAGUCGAGAAUCUUCGGCAAUGGGCGCAAGCCUGACCGAGUGACGCCGCGUGCGGGAUGAAGGCCUUCGGGUUGUAAACCGCUGUCGAGGGGAAUGAAGUGCAAGUGAGUUAUCUCAUUUGUUUGACAGAUCCCUGGAGGAAGCAUGGGCUAAGUUCGUGCCAGCCGCCGCCGUAACAC